GGGCGCAUAGCUCAGUUGGUUAGAGCGCUAUCCUCACACGGUAGAGGCCUCUGGUUCGAGUCCAGAUGCGCCCA
rnacentral:tRNA from 1 species